rnacentral:rRNA from 1 species
UACGAAGGGGGCUAGCGUUGCUCGGAAUCACUGGGCGUAAAGGGUGCGUAGGCGGGUAUUUAAGUCAGGGGUGAAAUCCUGGAGCUCAACUCCAGAACUGCCUUUGAUACUGAGUAUCUUGAGUACGGGAGAGGUGAGUGGAACUGCGAGUGUAGAGGUGAAAUUCGUAGAUAUUCGCAAGAACACCAGUGGCGAAGGCGGCUCACUGGCCCGUUACCGACGCUCAGGC